rnacentral:rRNA from 1 species
UACGUAGGUGGCAAGCGUUGUCCGGAUUUACUGGGCGUAAAGAGUAUGUAGGCGGAUAUUUAAGUCAGAUGUGAAAUUCCCGGGCUUAACCUGGGCGCUGCAUUUGAUACUGGAUAUCUAGAGUGUGGGAGAGGAAAGUGGAAUUCCUAGUGUAGCGGUGAAAUGCGUAGAGAUUAGGAAGAACACCAGUGGCGAAGGCGGCUUUCUGGACCAUAACUGACGCUGAGAUACGAAAGCGUGGGGAGCAAACAGG